CGUUGGAAAAUUGAGGAAAGCUGCUCCUAGUACGAGAGGACCGGAGUGGACGAACCCCUGGUGUUUGGGUUGUCAUGCCAAUGGCAUUGCCCAGUAGCUACGUUCGGACGGGAUAACCGCUGAAAGCAUCUAAGCGGGAAGCCUCUUCCAAGAUUAAUUUUCCCUGGGACUUUAAGUUCCCUGAAGGGCCGUUCAAGACUAGGACGUUGAUAGGUUGGGUGUGGAAGCGCUGUGAGGCGUUGAGCUAACCAAUACUAAUUGCCCGU
rfam:marine gamma proteobacterium HTCC2207 scf_1099215844476 genomic scaffold, whole genome shotgun sequence.